UUAAGUUCAACACAGGAAAUAUUGAAAAGGUGGGGUUUGGAAGAAACCCUCCUUAGCGCCCAACCUAGGGGUCGCCCCAAAAGCCAUUUAACACAUUAAAAUAGUUUUAAUUACUAAUUAAACGGAGGUUGUGAGAUCGUUAUUUAGUGGCCCUAAACUAAUUUGGCCAUAGGCCUGUGGUUAACAGUUUUUAUCACGUUUGAAAUUGCUACUAAAAGGACUUAAUACUUGACUGUACGUUUGGAUGAUUACGGGUAUCAUACUUAACGAAGCCCUAACCCCGCAUCUUUCUUUAGUGCCUUUCUAUUAUCUUGCAAGCAGUCAUGGUGCAUUAAUUGGUUUGCAUAUAUGCUGAGUUUUCCGGUUUCGUUCGUUCUAGCUAGUGUCAGUCAGUUUCGAGUGCCAACAAAUAUGUGCUUUGCAGCUUUAAAAGGGAAAAAUAAAAGUUGAUUCCUUUGUCGGAAUUUGUGAUUUUUCGCUGCUGCUUGCUGUGAUGUCGCAGAAGGCCGGAGCCGUUAUACGUCGUGUAGGAUCCAUUGCCAAAACGAGUGUUGAAGGCCCUAGCCACAGGGUUCGAUGCAGUGAUGGGUGUUCGAUGCGUUCAGUACGGAGAGAGAGUGUUGAAGGAGUCGGGAUGUGUACGGUGGUUGUGCGGAGGGUCGACUCCAUCUAUCCUUGUUAGGGGCUGGACCAUGGUUGGUGUAAGCCAACAGUGCCAAGCUCCCCCUGGCGGUGCGGCGUCUGACGAUGCAAAAUUCCGCAGGUCGCCCUUGUGGUGUAGCCGCACCGGCCAACCAGGGGGGCCUUUCAUCAACGCAAGUUGGUUUGGGCAUUGGCACUGGCAGCCGAUGGAGUUGACGAAAGUUUGCCGUCCUAUACCAUCCUCGGACGGUGUGUGAAGAGGUAGGUAUCGUUCCAAUCGGGGCAAUUAGAUGAACAGAAAAUAAUAUUUUCUUCUUUUUUAGGUGAUGAUUCUUCGAUGUUAGACGCCAGAUGGUGGGAUUCCUGGCCAGACCUUGCCAAAACAGGUUCUAAUGUAAUCGAUUAAGUUCAACACCAAAAGAAAGGGGGCUGGAAGAGACCCCUUUGCGGGCCAACCUUGGGUCCCGCCCAUAGCGGUGCAGCAAGACUAAAUUAUGGAGAGGGUCAGCCGGAGGGGCCGCCCUGCGUGCCAACCAAGGGCAUCGCCAUUUGACUUAGAACUAAACACUUGACUAAAAUAUAAACACUUUAAAAUGGGAAAUUAAAUAAUAAUAAUAAAAGGA